rnacentral:rRNA from 1 species
CCUACGGGCGGCAGCAGUGAGGAAUAUUGGUCAAUGGACGCGAGUCUGAACCAGCCAAGUAGCGUGAAGGAUGACUGCCCUAUGGGUUGUAAACUUCUUUUAUAAAGGAAUAAAACGAGGCACGUGUGCCUUUUUGCAUGUACUUUAUGAAUAAGGAUCGGCUAACUCCGUGCCAGCAGCCGCGGUAAUACGGAGGAUGCGAGCGUUAUCCGGAUUUAUUGGGUUUAAAGGGGGCGUAGGCGGGCUGUUAGGUGUGCGGUAAAAGUUGGGGGCUCAACCCUGGCGAGCCGUUGAAACUGGCUGUCUUGAGAGGGCGAGAGGUAGGCGGAAUGCGCAGUGUAGCGGUGAAAUGCUUAGAUAUUGCGCAGAACUCCGAUUGCGAAGGCAGCAUACCGGCGCGGAUCUGACGCUGAGGCACGAAAGCGUGGGUAUCGAACAGGAUUAGAUACCCCAGUAGUC